rnacentral:lncRNA from 1 species
AAAUUUCUCUUUUCUUUUCUUUUUCUUUUUUUUCCCUUUUUUUCGAUGGUCGUUUUUCUUAUAUUUUUUCGCACUCACCUUAGUUUCAAUUUCUUAUGGGGCUACCCCAAACUUAGAGUUAAACACAUUUUAAAGAACAUGACACUUUCUCUGAAUAGGGUAAGGAAGUGUUUGGGCCGCGGGUUACAUUCAUGUGGUGAUAUAUACAAACAAAAGGAUGCAUCCUCAAAUUGGGUGAACAAAG